rnacentral:rRNA from 1 species
GAAUCUUCCGCAAUGCACGAGAGUGUGACGGAGCGACGCCGCGUGUGGGACGAAGCCCUUCGGGGUGUAAACCACUGUCAGGGGUUACCAAGUUCUGAGGAGCCCCAGAGGAAGGCACGGCUAACUCUGUGCCAGCAGCCGCGGUAAGACAGAGGUGCCAAGCGUUAGGCGGAAUCACUGGGCUUAAAGCGUGUGUAGGCGGACUCGUAAGUACCUUGUGAAAUCCCACGGCUCAACCGUGGAACUGCUUGGUAUACUGCUUGUCUUGAGCCACUUAGGGGCUGUCGGAACAAACGGUGGAGCGGUGAAAUGCGUAGAUAUCGUUUGGAACGCCAAAGGUGAAAACAGACAGCUGGGAGUGUGCUGACGCUGAGACACGAAAGCCAGGGGAGCGAACGGG